ACGGGAGGCAGCAGUGGGGAAUAUUGGACAAUGGGGGAAACUCUGAUCCAGCGACGCCGCGUGAGUGAAGAAGUAUUUCGGUAUGUAAAGCUCUAUCAGCAGGGAAGAUAAUGACGGUACCUGACUAAGAAGCCCCGGCUAACUACGUGCCAGCAGCCGCGGUAAUACGUAGGGGGCAAGCGUUAUCCGGAUUUACUGGGUGUAAAGGGAGCGUAGACGGCAUAGCAAGUCUGAAGUGAAAGGCAGGGGCUCAACCCCUGGACUGCUUUGGAAACUGUUAAGCUAGAGUGCAGGAGAGGUAAGUGGAAUUCCUAGUGUAGCGGUGAAAUGCGUAGAUAUUAGGAGGAACACCAGUGGCGAAGGCGGCUUACUGGACUGUAACUGACGUUGAGGCUCGAAAGCGUGGGGAGCAAACAGGAUUAGAUACCCUGGUA
rnacentral:rRNA from 1 species